CGUGUUAAUGCACUGUUUUAAUCAACACGGCCGUGUGGUGGCACACGGGUGGCCGUGUUGAUCUCUGUUUUCUGCUCCCUCUCUGCUCUGCUUGAUCAACAACACGGGCAGUGUUGUGGCACACGGGUGCCCGUGUUGACCUGCUAUUUUCUCAUAUUUUUGUCCUUCAGAGUGUCCAGAACUUCACCAUUCUUGCUUUUAAACCUGUAACAAUAACACUACCAAACGAAGCAUAAACGAGAUCUUUUUGACAUAAACUCGUAAUCAAAUGCAAUGUAAUACCAAACCAACAAAACAUGCUAAUUGACUCAAAUGCAACUAAAAACAACCAUGAAUCUUACCAAGGUGAUGAAA
rnacentral:lncRNA from 1 species